AUUCAGCUGUAGAGUCCCAAAUAGGAUGAAACGCGCGUCAAACUGGAU
rfam:Schistosoma curassoni strain Dakar, Senegal genome assembly, scaffold: SCTD_scaffold0005626